CUGCAGACUUCCCCCUUGCUGUUCUCUUGAACAGCAAGUGAGUGAGUGAGUUCUCUUGAACAGCAAGUGAGAACAGUGAGUGAGUUCUCAUGAGUUAUGGCUGUUUAAAAGUGUGUAGCACAUCCCCCUUCACUCUCUCUUUCUCAUGCUCUGGCCAUGUAAGACGUGCCUGCUUCCCCUUCCACUUCCGCCAUGAUUGUAUAAGUUUCCUGAGGUCUCCCCAGCCAUGCUUCCUUUACAGCCUGCAGAACCGCUCACCCGGUAGAUGGGACUACAGCUGGAUGUCGAAGAGAAGUGGUUUGACUUCAGAAGGACAGCUUGACGGCCUAACUCCAGAGAAGAAUCUGGCUGGUGAUGGCCAGACUUCAGGGAAAGAUUUCCUACCUGCCCAGUCCCCUUUUCAGCUCCCCUUC
rnacentral:lncRNA from 1 species